rnacentral:rRNA from 1 species
AGUGAACGCUGGCGGUAGGCCUAACACAUGCAAGUCGAACGGCAGCACAGGAGAGCUUGCUCUCUGGGUGGCGAGUGGCGGACGGGUGAGGAAUACAUCGGAAUCUGCCCAGUCGUGGGGGAUAACGUAGGGAAACUUACGCUAAUACCGCAUACGACCUUCGGGAGAAAGAGGGGGAUCGCAAGACCUCUCGCGAUUGGAUGAGCCGAUGUCGGAUUAGCUAGUUGGCGGGGUAAUGGCCCACCAAGGCGACGAUCCGUAGCUGGUCUGAGAGGAUGAUCAGCCACACUGGAACUGAGACACGGUCCAGACUCCUACGGGAGGCAGCAGUGGGGAAUAUUGGACAAUGGGCGCAAGCCUGAUCCAGCCAUACCGCGUGGGUGAAGAAGGCCUUCGGGUUGUAAAGCCCUUUUGUUGGGAAAGAAAUCUUUCAGGCUAAUACCCUGGGAGGAUGACGGUACCCAAAGAAUAAGCACCGGCUAACUUCGUG